AUACGGAGGGUGCAAGCGUUAUUCGGAAUCCCUGGGCGUAAAGGACGCGUAGGCGGGUUGGCAAGUCAGAUGUGAAAUCCUACAGCUUAACUGUAGAACUGCAUUUGAAACUGCUAACCUAGAGUAUGGGAGGGGGAGAUGGAAUUAGUGGUGUAGGGGUAAAAUCCGUAGAUAUCACUAGGAAUACCGAAAGCGAAGGCGAUCUCCUGGAACAUAACUGACGCUAAGGCGUGAAAGCGUGGGGAGCAAACAGGAUUAGAUACCCUAGUAGUCC
rnacentral:rRNA from 1 species